UGACGGUACCUCAUGAAUAAGCCACGGCUAACUACGUGCCAGCAGCCGCGGUAAUACGUAGGUGGCAAGCGUUAUCCGGAUUUACUGGGUGUAAAGGGCGCGUAGGCGGGGAAGCAAGUCAGAUGUGAAAUCUAUGGGCUUAACUCAUAAACUGCAUUUGAAACUGUUUCUCUUGAGUGCUGGAGAGGUAGAUGGAAUUCCUAGUGUAGCGGUGAAAUGCGUAGAUAUUAGGAAGAACACCAGUGGCGAAGGCGAUCUACUGGACAGUAACUGACGCUGAGGCGCGAAAGUGUGGGGAGCAAACAGGAUUAGAUACCCUG
rnacentral:rRNA from 1 species